rnacentral:lncRNA from 1 species
CUCCAAAAAUCGACUCAAAGCUCAACCACAACUUUGCUUUUCGAACAAGCCUCUGAACCAACAAAAUCUAGCAAAUUAUCAACCAAAUGAUUAAACAUAAGCCUUAGGGACUAUCAACGAAUGCAAAAUAUUCAAUUUUGGUUAUUAUUGAAAAAGUCAACAAAAGUCAUGUCCAAGGCCCCCUUAGUCCAAACUCUAAAUUCGGAC